UAUCCAAAAAAAAUUGUUCUU
rnacentral:piRNA from 1 species